AAUGCCUGGGUUCUGAUUUUAUGUGUAAAUUGAAACCCCUGGUUUUGAUUCUAUGUGUAAGUGGAAUAGCCCUUUUCUGGAACAUAAGAGUAAGGUAAAUGAGCUCUUUUUUAACCCUAUUGGUAGUGAGAUCAUAGUCUUCUUGAAACAUAUGGGUUAUUUAGUGUGUAAAUACAGUAUAAAUACGGGAGCUUAAGCUCAGGGUAUUGGGAUCACUUCUGAGAAUUCUCAUCGGUGUGGAUCUCGUGUGGUGGAAUGGAACAAUAAAGCUGGACCCUUGCUUCUUCUCACUCACGGCUGGUGUAUUUUUUCUAUCUCCAACUGGGCUCAGAGGUAGAUUGUUGUCUGCAGCGUUGAUCUGGACCCGUGCUGCUCCGGCUGUGUUCACGUGGGUUACAGUAGAUCCGGACGUCCUUCAGUAAUCACGUUCUCUCCACAUCUUCCCCCUAAAGAGAAAAGACCUCAGAAAUCACACCUCUGGUGGAAACUACACAAUUUCACUAUUUGAAGUAAUCAGGUGCCACAAGUUUGUUAGAUGACCCCUAGGAAGCCUGAGGGACCGAGUCAACACAACAGAAGACUUCAGGAGCCAAACUUGUUCUGAAG